rnacentral:rRNA from 1 species
UGGGGAAUAUUGGACAAUGGGGGCAACCCUGAUCCAGCCAUGCCGCGUGAGUGAUGAAGGCCUUCGGGUUGUAAAGCUCUUUUGGCGGGGACGAUGAUGACGGUACCCGCAGAAUAAGCCCCGGCUAACUUCGUGCCAGCAGCCGCGGUAAGACGAAGGGGGCUAGCGUUGUUCGGAAUUACUGGGCGUAAAGCGAGUGUAGGCGGUUGUCAUAGUCAGGUGUGAAAGCCUUGAGCUCAACUCAAGAAAUGCACUUGAUACUGGGCGACUAGAGGACCGGAGAGGAUAGUGGAAUUCCCAGUGUAGUGGUGAAAUACGUAGAGAUUGGGAAGAACACCAGUGGCGAAGGCGGCUAUCUGGACGGUUACUGACGCUAAGACUCGAAAGCGUGGGGAGCAAACAGG